UACGUAGGGUGCAAGCGUUGUCCGGAAUUAUUGGGCGUAAAGAGCUCGUAGGCGGUCUGUCACGUCGGCUGUUGAAAACCCGGGGGCUCAACCCCCGGGCCUGCAGUCGAUACGGGCAGACUAGAGUGCGGUAGGGGAGACUGGAAUUCCUGGUGUAGCGGUGAAAUGCGCAGAUAUCAGGAGGAACACCGGUGGCGAAGGCGGGUCUCUGGGCCGUAACUGACGCUGAGGAGCGAAAGCGUGGGGAGCAAACAGG
rnacentral:rRNA from 1 species